UGUGCAGUGUUUCAUUUCCCAGGUUGUCUCAACCAUUUUGCUGGACCGUCCCUGCGAGGCUCUGCCCGGCUCCUCUCCGCCUCCAGCACUGCUAUUAAGGGAAGGAGGGACUUGAGAAUUCCCGCAGUCUUUGGGAGCGGACACAAGUCAAACUUCAUCUUGAUGUUGCUGCGGGAAUCUCGGUAAAUGACCAUCUGUCUGAUAAGCGUGAUGCAAAGGACAUUUUUUAAAAGGAGCGUUUUAACUCCGUAGACACGUAGGGACCCAUUCACGGGCAGGCACACGCACACAGUCGAGGAGGAGGAGGAGGAGGAAGAAAAAGAAGAAGCAACAACUUUUCGAUCGCUGCUUUUAAAAGGGAGAAGCCUUUUCCCUGGCCGGGACUUGCCUUCCUGCCUCCUCAACCAGCUGCUAAAAGUAUGUUUCCGAGUCGGACUGUACUUCAGGGAACUUCUGUUUUCUGCUCGGCAGCUGUAGAGGAGCAGCAGCGAAGUUUGGAGUAACACCAAGUGAUGCGGGAAAAACACCCCGAGAGCAGAACACCCUCCUGCAGACACAACCCCUGCUGCUGCACACAGGUUGAUCAUGGUUGCCGUGACCCGCUCCCUCCUGGCGCUGCUGCUGUGCCAGGCGCUGCUGGGCGGCGCGGCCGGGCUCAUGCCGGAGGUGGGUCGGCGGCGCUUCAUCGAGCCGGGCCGCGCCGCCUCGGCCGCGCAGCGCCCCGAGGACCUGCUCAGCGAGUUCGAGCUGCGCCUGCUCCACAUGUUCGGGCUGAAGCGGCGGCCCAGCCCCGGCAAGGACGUCGUCAUCCCGCCCUACAUGCUGGAUCUCUACCGCCUGCACGCGGGGCAGCAGCUGGGGCAGCCGCCGGCGCUCGGCUUCCCGCUGGAGCGGGCGGCGAGCCGCGCCAACACCGUCCGCAGCUUCCACCACGAAGAAGUUUUGGAAGAACUGCCAGAAACGAGUGGGAAAACAUCACGGCGUUUCUUCUUUAAUUUAACUUCCAUCCCUACCGAGGAGUCUAUCACCUCAGCUGAACUCCAGAUUUUUCGGCAACAGGUGCACGGAGCCUUUGAGAACAACAGCAGCUACCAUCACCGUAUUAAUAUUUAUGAAAUUAUAAAGCCAGCCACAGCCACCUCUAAGGACCCUGUCACAAGACUUUUGGACACCAGGAAUGCAAGGGGGAACAAAACCAGGAAAGGAUAGAAGGGAUGGAGGAGCCCUGCUCCAGCCUGGCACACUGCUCAGGGACUUGGCAGUCUGACUCCUGAUCCAAGCCCUUCCUUUAGACUGCUGCCUGACCUAAGAGAGUCCCUUCCAGGUUCCACGCGCCAUCCCAUAGUCACGUCUGCUGGGUGAGCUGGGAGCUGACAGCCUCGAGAGGAGCUCUCCGUGAUCUGGAGUUUCAAGUAUCAGCUUGCUGGAAGUGCCACGGAGAGGGAGGAGGGAGGGAAGUGGUGUGAGCUUUGCCAACACACCUGCACAAGCUCUGGGCUCUCUCCUGGACACUCCGUGUGCUAAUGAUGUAUAACCUGCAGAGCCUGGCAGCUCCCUCGCUGAAGACUCUACCAGACACACUGUGCAUGCCUCUGAUUUCUAAUUUCUUAAAACAAGUAAUAAACCGCCCCCCUCCCCCAGCCCUGUGCUGUAGGUAAAUGCUCAGGAUGGAAACUGAGAUGUGUUCAGCUGGGCAGAGCUUCUACCAAGGCAAGGAACAAAUGACAAUUUAAUUAUGGUGCUUUAGGUCUAUGUAAUUCCUCCUGUAAAGUAGAAGGGAGGAAAAAAGCUCAAAGAGAGACAGAGUUCAUUUUUGCUCCAAUGUUCUGCUAAUUUUUCUUUUUACUAUUAGAGAUUCAUCUGGAUCCUAUUUCUAAUCCACUCUCAAAUUUGCUCGAAUUAAAAUCCCAGAUCACUGCUGUGUUUUCAAGUUGAAGUGUGCAUAGUAGCCAAGGUUUAUAUUGCAAUUUCUGGAGUUACGGAAUGAUGAGCUCCAAAAGCGGAAAGUGUGUUGGAUGCCCAAGUGCUGGGGGAAAAAAACCUGGUUGGCAUCGGUGUUAUUUGGAAUUGGAGCUCAUCUGUAGAAUAACUAGCCUUGAAGUUAAUACAUGGCUACAUUUUACAUGUGGUUCUGCACACUGGAAUUGGUGGGCAUGGAAGAGAAAGGGCUCCCAUAGUGGAGAUGUAGGAAUGGGAAGUGCUACUUAACUAUAAAGCCUGGAUAUUUUUGAACUUUCCCCUGAAAUAUAAAAGUUCCCCCACUAGUUUGGGACUUAUUUUAAUAAGAAAUUCACUUUCUGAAUAAAAUAGCACAGCAAGAGUGCCCCUGCUGUGAAAUACCUGUGCUGUCCCUACUGCUGCCCGAAUCCCAGUCUGAAAGCCAGCACUUCUCCUCCAGUGUCCCGGCUAUGUCCAAAUCCAAUAGUCUUGUUAGAUUUUGCUACCUGGAAAACAACAUAACUCUGAUGGAGUUAUGAAUCCCAAUAUUCUCUGGGCUUUCAUCUCUCUUUCAUGACAAUUCCCAGCCCCUGCCAGGUGAAGCCAGCCAGCCAAUAUUUAUGGAAAAUGAGUGGACUAAUGAUUUCCAAUAGCGGGACAGGAUUACGAUAUAAUUGCAGCAGUUUGCAUUGACAUCCAAGUGGACGGAUACGAGCCAAAAAUUGGAAUAACGGCUCCACCCAUCUACCACCCAAAUGUAAACAAGCCAGCAUGGUUAAAAUGAGGCCUGGAAGUCAGGGCUCGGCCGUUCUCCUCCAGCUGUGUUCCGGUGGGAUUGCCAAGCUGCCACCCAACCUGCAUGCCAGGCAGUUCAUCCACCAUAAACUGACCCUCACCUCACUUGGAAAGUUCAGCAGCUUCUCCCAGUAUCAGCUCUUUUCACACAGGGCUAGAAGUGCACUGCUGUUAAUAAGGGCAAGAGAUUAUAUUUUAGAGAUUGGGUGUUGUAGGGUCCUGAAUUAAACCUGUUAAGUACCUAAAAUCCAGCUCAGCCCAAGCCAUGACUGGCCCUGAUGUUGUGUGUACACGUGUGGAUAGGGGAAUAUCUGCAAAGGAAAAGAGAGUCUGAGAAGAGCCUUGACCUUACCCUUAUAACUUACUACCUUGUCCCUCCCCAAGUUGGCCUAAAUACAACUAAGUUAAACUACUCCUCAGAUUACAUUGCCAAAAAAUCCAUGACCCUGAGCAAAACACCAUCUGUUGUUGAUGCAUCUUGGCAUGCAAUGGUUGAUCCAUUCCUCCCGAUGCCAUCACCUGGAGAAAAUGGACGAUGCUCAGCUUCCAGUUCUCAGUUCUAAACAUGAGAGAAGCUUGGCCUGAGCAUGGCCUGUGCCUGCAUCUCUGGAUAUCACAGGCCUCCUCAAACGGGCCAGCUAAAAGGAGGAAGCUCCUGGAGCCCGGGGCAGUUUGUACCAUGAGGACCUGGCCUGUGAACACCUGUACCUGUGGUGUGAGGACAAGCAAAGGCCCGUGCUCCAAAGCAUGGCGAGCUCCAGCCUCCUAAGCCGUAUGAAAUCCCAUUUCCUCUCUACUUGUGCUAAGUGUAAAAACAGAAACAAAGACACACACCUAAAUAAACAGAACAGCACUGGGGAGCAGAGGGGGAGAGAGGCCCUAGCGCAGGUCAGACGCCAACUGGUACAGAGAGAUGUUUUCUGUUUGCGGUCCUUCGCGUCAGACCCUGCCAUGUCACGGGGAUGGGAAUGUGAGUGGGAGACUUGUUGGACACCACUGGCUUUACAAAUGCCUCACGAUUGCAGAAACACCUGCUUUGCAUUAAUUUUCUUGCUGGUCCACAACAAAAUUCCUCCCUGGUCCACAGUUCUCAGCAGACCUUUCUUCCUUCUGCGUGGAUGGCUCAAACCACUGGUUUCUAAAUCCUGGGCCACUACGAGAUCACACUAGAAUCUCCUUGAGUAGGAGGGCGAAUCAGAAGGCAGAAGGGCACUUUUGUGCAGAAUCAUGCCAAACUGUUGGCCAGAGGGCCAGAACCACACGACGCUGCUUACUGUCAGGUGGGGGAAGCGGGGCAGGGGGGUUACCCAGGCCAAACGGACGGAUCUGUAAGACCCAUCUGUUUUCACCAUAAAAACCUCACAGCCCACACCUAUGCAACACACAGCACUCCAGUCACCACAAGUUAUUACUCUUGGUCUCCACUGCUUCCUGUGAAGCUGUAAUGGGUCUGAGACAGCAUCCAAUGAAACCAAAGGGAGCCUUUCCAUUAACUCAAUGGGCUCUGGAUCAGGCCCAACAUCUGUUUGGCCCUCUCUGUACAUAGCACAGCCAAUUUAUUCUUUAUCCAUUCCUGGGCCUCUCUCUCCAAUAGCAUCCAUAUUUUUCCUACUUAUGGUUGUCAUUAACCACACUAAGCACCACCCCCAGAGAGACCAUCUGUGCCCCAUGGCAGCCAAUCCCUUGGCAUGGCAUAGCAAUGAGUGCUGCCCCGACCCCUUAUCAUCUCAGCAAGGACUCUCCUUUUUCUUUGUUCAGGUUUCCAGGACAUCCCUUGGAGCUGCCAAGCUCUUCCUACUCUCCCCUCCUCACCAAGUAGAGGGCAGGUUGUGCCUUCUCUUCUGUUGUAAACCUGGUGAAGAAUCAAUGCCAAAUCCAGACAGCAAGGUCCAAGAGCUCUCUGAACAGGCAUUUCCCACCUUGGCUAAUGACAGUUCAGGCAAUGACUUCCCUGGAGAUCCAGAGUACAAGGGAGAAUAGCCAGCAGGCAGCUCCUUCAUCUUAUACUGGAGUGCAGAGCUAGAGUAAGAGAUUCAUUCUUCAAACUGUCUGUGUAAGACCAUAGAAUAUCUUAAGUUGGGUGGGACCCAGAAGGUUCAUUGAGUCCAACUCUCCAGCUCCUCACAGGACUACUUAAAACUGAACCAUAUGACUACGAGCAUCGUUCAGACACUCCUUGAACUCUGACAGGCUUGGUGGUGUUACCACUUCCCUGAGGUUCUUCCCCCACCAUUCCCAUAUCUUCUCAAGUGUGAAUGCAGACACUGUGCCAGUUCACAGCACUUCCAUCUCCGCUCUCACCAAAUCUGUGAUUCACUUUGCAGAGAUAAGACAGGACCAGGCACAAGCCCUCUCUAGGUCUCCCAGUGACAGACAGAGCAAUGGUCCAUGAGACGCCAUCCAAUCACUGAGCAAUACAUGACAUUCAUUUCUUUAUGACUCUGCCAAGCCCUUGGAUUCCAGGAUCUUUUUUCCAACUGGCACCCAUGGAUUCCCAAGCUGUGACAUGCAUGUCAUCGCUAAGCAGAGCAACAGCCUUUGCUGAGAAGCCAAGCAGCUUCUUACAGCAGAAAAACAAGCCCCCGGUGCUAAAUCUAGAGAUUCUUCCAAGCACAGAGCUGCAGAUUCAUUGUGGGCACUGCCACUGCAAAAGUCAGAAUCCCAUACAAAAAUACCUUGCCAAUGUACCCCUGAAAUCACAUGAGUUUGGAACCGGGACUGUUGCCUAAGGCCAGAUGUGGGGACUGGCAGGCUGUUGGCACUGCACAGAGGCACAUCUGCAUGUCAGGGUUCUCUCCUGGUGCAGCUGUUGUUCAGCUCUAGGAAGAGGAGGACAGUUUGGGAUGGAGUUACCUCAGCAAUAGCAGAAGUGUAUAUGGCAUCUCAAUACAUGCACAUGACAUUUUUUCUCUCUAAAAUAAAAAGCAGAUCUCUGUCUCUCUAAAUAUCAGUACUGAGAGAGGCCCGUGGUCACAAAGGCAAACUCCCCUUGGAAACUCUGAGCAAUCCCUUUCCAAGAACACCCCCACCUCCUUCCCACCCACUGCUGAUAUCCAUCACCCAUUUCAGCCCAUGGCUCUCACACCCUCCUCUUCCCCUGAGAGAACAUCACAGGGUGUCCUUGAUGGCUCUGCUGUUCCCCUCCAAGCUUCAUAAAAGAGAGACAUAUUCUAUAACACAGCAUCUUAACAAUUAUUAAUUUCCUUGAGGAAAAAUAUUACUGGAUUACCCCCUGGGAAAACCUAAGCAACAGAUCUGUUUCAGUUUGAUUUCACAAGCAUGUAAAUAUUUCAUCAGUUUAAGAACAACACUUGUGGAGAUCGAUCAGCUGGGUACACACUGCUUUGAGGGAGGAUGUAGUUUAUUUUGGGAUGCUGGUUCCACAAACAAGGCUGUCCUCAGCCCCUCCCAUGAGCAUUAUGCCAUAGGUAUAUACCUUGUGUCAAUAACACUUAAAAGGAAGCUUUCUGGCUAAAUUCAAACGGAAGGAAAUGAAAUGCAAUUUGAUUUCAGAAAUGCCACCAAGUUAUUUCAGUUCAAAAAAAUAACAAAUAGAGGUUUACAGACUUCAUAUAGAAGUCUGAUGUUUCUGCUCCAUUUUUUGAAUUGCUGAAAUGCAGAAAAAAAUCAGAACUACCACAUGGGGUAGAUUUCUAAUUGAAAUUUCUGUCUUGACGUAGGCUGGCUGAAGGAAGGGAGAUCUCUUCAGCUGCUUUUCCUAGAGAACCACCCAGUUGUUACCAAGCUGAGCAAACUUGUUUAGAUCCCACCACUACACCCCCCACACAUGCAGGGAUCUUGGGAUGUUGGACAAUACCUAAUGGGACCCAGGAAAAAGAGCUCUGCUUAGUGUAUAACUCCUCUGUGGCCCUUCUGGAAGAUGUCAGACUUGUAUCUAAGGUUGUUGUCACACUUGACAGUGUCCAUCCCAGUGAGAGCACUCCCAACCCCACCAGCCAGGAAAGCCAAGCAGUCCAGGAGAGUCAGGGUUCAUGGGCUGGUUUUUCCCACACUUUGGUGCUUGGACAAGCCAGCACUGAAAUCAGAGAGAUCACUGCUAUCAGAGGUGGUGUUAAUUAGGUGCCAACUGCAAUGAACACAUGGGCUUCAGCAGGAGCUGGCUGGGAUUGGAUGCUGCAUCCAAGCUAUAACCUGCUUUGCAUCCUCCCUCCUGCUAGUAUUAAGACUAAUUAGGCUAAAACCAGCUUGAGACAUGGCUACUCCUGCUGUGGUUUCUCCUUGGACUCUCUUAGAAGCUGCAAUUUUUGGAAGUGUUGUGCACCUGCCCCAACCCCUGCCUUGUACCCGGGUGCUGAGCAUCCAGAGCAGGGAGAGGAGCAGCCCUGAGACACCUCAAGCAAGAAGUACAGGAAAGCAGCUGCUUUGCAACAUGCUUUUUGGUGUGCAGUUUUGACCUGUCCUGCAACCUCCAAAGACAGUGCACGAGAAUAAAACACAGGGAGCCAUGCAGUGUGAGAGAGAAGCUUAAAAAUUACUCCUGUAGAGAAGAAACCACAUAAUAUAUUCAAGAUGUCAGAGGUUAGCCGUGGUGCAUGUGAAUCAUGCUGCAAAUACCUCACCUUUAACUCUACCGUCGUAAUUAGAUUACAAAGUUUUUAUUACAGUUUUAAAUUCUGCCUUUAUAGGUUGCUGCCCAGCUGUGCACUUAAAUCUGGUUUUAUCACACUUUCUGAGCUCAUCACAUUUAAUUCUGCCCCUACAAUGCUGGAUUAACUUUAAGGGUCGCUGAAGUCAGAAGUCACUCACCCUUGCCCUACUAAUGGAUUCACACCAUCCCUGCACGGCCCAGAGUGAUGUGUACAGUAAACCAAAUUUACUGUUGUGGCAGAGGGGAAGGGGCAGUGGGGCUGUUUGUUUAUUUACUCCACUGCUGGGCUUCGCUGCUGGGACAUCUGCACAGAUUACUGAACCAACGAGGCGUUGUUUACCUCCGUGUAGGGCCUUUUGCCGUGAGAUGUGCUCAGCUGCACUGCUCUGCCGGCUAGAAAGGAGAAUAUUCAGGUCUGUCUGGGAGAAGUGGAAUCUGGUUGAUUAAUGGGGUACACAGACCUGUAUCAUGUGAGGAACUGAGCAGCUGUGCCCAUCCAGAAAUCACACCUUGCUGCCACACUCACUCCUGCUAGAAAGCCCAGUCCUGGUAUUUUAGAGGUCCCAUCUCUGAUGUUUGAGACAGCCCCAGAAUAAUCAAAAAACAAUAUUCUUUUUUUUCCUAAGGGUGACUUCUUGGUUGUUGCCUAUUGUCAAGAAAGCAGAGUAAAGUAAAAAUGAAACUCUUCAUCUAAACAACAUUCAUCCCCAUGUUUUACCUCAAUCUGUUUUUAUUCUCUGACCAGUAAAGAGCAGAGAGGCUGGUGUUAAAUACCACCAAAACAAGAUGAAUCAUUGCCAUGAAAAUAUAAAGGGGAAAUCAUAUUCUUUCUAUUAAUAAGAAACACGGAGAAAAGAGGUGCUGAAGGUCCAAGUGGUUUACAUCAAGUCCCAGAGGGAGUCUGAAAGGGAUCUGGGAAAUAAAACUAGCUCCAGUGGAAAGGUCAUUUUUCUCCUUCUUGCUGGGGAAUACUUCGAACAGAAUUAGGACAGACCUGAGCCAGAGAGGGACAGCAGGGACUUUAAUGAAAAGUGGAGGCCAAAAUUUGUCACUGAGUAAUGCCAUGACAAUUUUUUGACCUUUGCCAUUCAAUGACUAGACACAUUUUUGGAACCAAGGUUAAUAAUCUUCAGCAAUAUACAACCUUCUCCCAAGGAAUGUGUGGUGAUUAGGGCAAAGAAUUUCACAUGGUCACAAAAUAUCUAUCUCAGAGUCCUGGGCUUAUAAAAUACUCUAUUUCCUCCAUUAAUUGUGUCCACGUGGAGCUGUAACUAAGUAGCUGAAACAAAUAAAACCAAAGUAAUAUUGUUUCCUUUUAAAA